CCAGCUUCAAAAUACAUGAAAAUUUGAAAGGUUGUUUACUUAUGUUAACUCAUCAUUGUGGAAAUUAAACAAUACUGGCCCUGUAUUUAUUUGGUAUUGGAUCUAAAAUUUAAAAGAAAUCGACUCAGUUAUGAAAAUAAGUGACGAUACCCAGCUGUAAGUUGGAGUACCCAGGGACAACAAUAUUUAAAGUUGGGUUUUUUCUGGGGUUUUUUUGCCUGUCCCGUUUGGUUCUUUUGCCAUCAGAAUUAUUGUCUAAAGGUGAAGAAAGAUGCCAAACGGAUUUACUUUACCAAAUAGACCAUCCCAGCUUUGCUGUAAUGGUCUAUUUGAUUUACCUUUUAUUGUUUAUUUUAUUUUAUUUUCACUUGCUAAAUACGGGACAGACUUGACUGUGAAAUAGAAAGAGGGAAAGAAAAACAAAAUUUAAAGUUAAUAGCUCACAGUUGUACUUUGACCUUUAACCUCUCUGCUCUGUGUUGUUUCCUCUUUCAGACCAGAAAAACAUUGCAGCUGAGUCUGGACAGAACAUCACUCUGCCAUGUGGAGCUCCAAACAAGAUUAUAGUUGUAGAGUGGAGCAGAGCUGAACUGGGAGAUGAAAAUGUGUUCAUUUACCAGGAUGGGCGACCUCUUGACGACCAGCAUCCAUCUUUAAAAGAACCGGGUGGAUCUGCAGGACAGACAGAUGAAGGAUGGAGACGUGUCUUUGAUUCUGAAAGAUGUGACGAUUAAUGAUGCUGGAACAUACGAGUGUCGUGUCCAGAGAGAGGGAGACGGUAUAAAGCUCAUCAACAGCAUCUACCUUCAUGUUGAUCCUCCAGCUCAGACAGGAGGAGACACAGAGGAUGUAGGAAACAAGGAGGAUGGACCUGGUGGACUGAUGUGCUUCUUGCUGCUGCUGUUGUUGGGUUUCCUGAUCUACAGAAAACAGAAAGAGUAACAGAGUGCACAUCAGGGUGGCUUCUCCACCAGUCAGGUUCCCCUGCUACAUGGGCAUCAACAUCCCAACCAAGGAGGAGCUCAUCGCCAACAAGCCGGAGUUUGAGGACAUUGCUGGUUAUAUUGGUAUUUAAACAUGAACUUCUACCAUUCAUUUCUUUGACAGGUCAGAACAAAAACUUGUGUUAAUGCUAAAGCUGUUUACAGGUGCUGACAGUGUCAAAUUAUUUAUAACCACCUAUGUAAUCUUGAUAUUUAAAAUGGAACAAUUUGUAUAUAUUAGUGCUAUUUAUUAAAUUUGUAAACUGUAACAUAUAGUGUAUUUUAAUAGUUGACUUUGUUGCUGUCUUGGAGCAGCUGUAAUCUCCUCAGGGAUUAAUAAAGUAUUCUGAUUGUGAAAUAACUGACUCGAGUUUGAAAGUGCAGCUGUAACGAGGACCUGUGCAGGUAAACUUAAGUGUUUUGUAGGCAGCGUGUAAUGAUGUACACGGUACCGUUUACUACAGAUAUCACAGCCACAUAAGUGUGCUAACACUCAGAAACCCAGUGGUAUUUCAUUAAAUGACUGGGGCACUGGGAAUGGUAAAUGUUUGCUGGUUCAUGAAUUUGAACUGAUUUGUGGUUUCUUGAUGUCGAAUUGAACUCAUGUAAGUUAGUUUUCAAAGCUGUAGACACACUGCUAAUACUUCCAUGGUGCUGCAGGUAUUGCUGCUGUGACUACUGUAGUAUACCUGAUAACGCAACUUUGCAGCGAAAACAAACCACGCAACGGCAAAUGCAAAAUGAAAUAUUGAAUCACGAGAUAAAACUGCAAACAUAAAUGCAAGAUUUCAAGGAAGUUCUGUCCUUGGCUUUAGACCUUCCUCUAAUUAAAAACAUUGUGGCUAAUAUUAUGGUUAAGACUUUGCUGUCUCGGGCUGAUUUGCACCUUGUGAAACCAG
rnacentral:lncRNA from 1 species